CCUACGGGUGGCAGCAGUGAGGAAUAUUGGUCAAUGGGCGCAAGCCUGAACCAGCCAAGUCGCGUGAGGGAUGAAGGUUCUAUGGAUCGUAAACCUCUUUUAUAAGGGAAUAAAGUGUGGGACGUGUCCCAUCUUGUAUGUACCUUAUGAAUAAGGAUCGGCUAACACCGUGCCAGCAGCCGCGGUAAUACGGAGGAAUGGAGCGUUAUCCGGAUUUAUUGGGUUUAAAGGGUGGGUAGGCGGCCUUUUAAGUUAGCGGGGAAAGUUUGUGGCUCAACCAUAGAAUUGCCAUUGAAACUGGGGGGCUUGAGUAGGAUAGAGGCAGGCGGAAUGCGUGGUGUAGCGGUGAAAUGCUUAGAUAUCACGCAGAACCCCAAUUGCGAAGGCAGCCUGCCAGGCCAUGACUGACGCUGAUGCACGAAAGCGUGGGGAUCGAACAGGAUUAGAUACCCCGGUAGUC
rnacentral:rRNA from 1 species